AAGUAUUACAGCCAGCCCAGCUCCUUGGGCCGCAGAGAUCAUUUCAGGAGGCCUUUCUAAACGGAGUGCCCUGGGGAAGCAAACUCUAAACGUCCUCGUAGGAGAAGACAUUAGCUAAAUACCUUUAGAUCUACACACCAAGAUGAAGACCGCCUUGUGUCUUGGAUAAAUGUAACGAGCAGAUGCUGGCAGCUCGCAGGUGCUCUGGGCUGGAGGAGUUAGAACUGCCGGGCCAGGUGGAGUGAGCCAGCACCGCUCAGGGGAGCUUCAUCUCUCUGAUUCCAAAAUAAAUGUUUUCUG
rnacentral:lncRNA from 1 species